AACAGACUCUCUGCGCCAGUUAUUCAUAUCAGUGUUAUAUAUUUCCCACUGUCGACACCGAUACCCACUGGACUGGUUGCGCUUCUACCUUUUUCAGUGUCCGACCUGCGGAAUGACACACUUGUGCGCUCUCACUGCGCAUGUCAGUCGCUGAUGCGUCGUCAAGUGGGCCGGACGAAGCCAUUUUCCAGAUGGAAAGGGUACAGACUUCCAGUUUACUAAAACGAUGUUAAAGACACACUUAUGUUUUAUGACUAAAUGGACAUGAGGGGAGUAAAAUGCAGGGAAAAAACAGCAACUGAAGAAAUGAAAGUGAAAUAAACUGAAACAACUAGAAAACAAAACCACUCAAAUGAGAGGGAAAUCAGAGGCAUUUGUCCUCCCUCAGCCCCCCCCAAACCCCGUCCAGCGUCAUCUGUAAAUCAGACACUGGUACAAGGAUUGGGAGAGACGGAGAUGGACUGUAAGACAGAUCAAUACUACAGAUUUUAACAUUUGAACUGAAGCCUAGCAAGUUGUCUGGAUAAACACUGACAGAAAAAGUUAGUUAUUAGUCAAAUUAAUAAGCACAAAAUUAACUUGUAUAUGUAAUUAUACAAGAGAGAAAGAGACUUUGAGAGAGAUAAAUUAAAGAUAUCACAGUUUGCAAACAUUACCGUGGAAAGUCCAAACAUUUUCAAGAGUCACAAUGAUGUACAUCAUUAGGAAAUUACAGACAUAGUAUCAGUACAGAAGUUAAAAUAAAAUAUGUAGUUACCACAAAGACCCUCCGAGCAGCAACAUCCUUGUCAUCCAAAGUUGACAAACCCUCAAGCAUUUUCUUAACAAUCAUAUUGCUCCGUGCAGCUAUCUUUCCCUUCUGUGAAGCUUCAUCUGCCCUCUGAUGUCUUACCUCAGAGUGAUUUCCUCUUUAGCUGAGAUGAUUUGCUCUCGAGUCUGCACCCUCCUUCACUUGCUCUCUUCAUCUUGUCUGUCUUUAUUUAGCUCUGCACUCUCUUCUUCCUGCCUC
rnacentral:lncRNA from 1 species